CACCGCGGUCAUACAGGAGACUCAAAUUAACAGUAUAACGGCGUAAAGGGUGGUAACAUGCUAUCUAAGUAACUAAGAUUAAAAAGCAACUGAGCUGUAAUAAGCCCAAGAUGCUCAUAAGGCCAACUACCAAAGAAGAUCUUAGACUGACGAUUGAUUGAAAUCCACGAAAGCCAGGGCC
rnacentral:rRNA from 1 species